rnacentral:pre_miRNA from 1 species
AUUAUACUCCCUCCGUCCGAAAAUACUUGUCAUCAAAAUGGACAAAAAGGGAUGUAUCUAAAACUAAAAUACAUCUAGAUACAUCCCUUUUAUCCAUUUUGAUGACAAGUAUUUCCGGACGGAGGGAGAAUAUA